GGCGGAGCAUUCAAUGUUACCCUCUCCUCGUUUCUAUCGGCCCUUUUCCUUCCCCUCUUAAACCUUAAUAAAGCCCAAGUCUUCACUCUUCUUCUCCAAUCUCUUUCUUUACUCUCCUUGAGAUCUUGGUUUCUGGCAAUUUGGUUUUCAACAAUGGAGGCUACAUUGCCAGUGUGCAAAUCUGUUGUUACUUCAACAACUCCUGGCUUAUUCAUGGGGAGGACUAGAGGAAUUGGGAGUUCCCAAUGUAGCUUUAUGGUGGGAAGUAGGAUUAAUUUUCCAAGACAAGGAGUUCGGGCUGCCCAAGUUAGCUAUAAAGCUAAAAAAACUGGUGUAGGUGCGCUUGGGGCUACAUGCCGUGCUGAUAAAAUUUUAAUUGCAAAUAGAGGAGAAAUUGCUGUUCGUGUUAUCCGAACUGCGCACGAGCUGGGUAUACCUUGUGUUGCUGUUUACUCAACCAUAGACAAGGAUGCACUUCAUGUCAAAUUGGCUGAUGAAUCAGUUUGCAUAGGUGAAGCACCAAGCAGUCAGUCGUACUUAUUGAUUCCAAAUGUUUUAUCGGCUGGUAUAAGUCGUGGAUGUACAAUGUUGCACCCUGGAUAUGGUUUCCUUGCUGAGAAUGCAGUAUUUGUUGAAAUGUGCAGGGAACAUGGGAUCAACUUUAUUGGGCCUAAUCCUGACAGUAUCCGAGUCAUGGGUGACAAAUCAACUGCUAGAGAAACAAUGAAGAAUGCAGGUGUUCCAACUGUGCCUGGGAGUGAUGGGUUGCUACAGAGUACAGAGGAAGCACUGAAGCUUGCUCACGAGAUUGGAUUUCCUGUGAUGAUCAAGGCAACAGCAGGUGGUGGAGGACGUGGAAUGCGCCUUGCUAAAGAACCUGAUGAGUUUGUGAAAUUGCUACAGCAAGCUAAGAGUGAGGCAGCUGCAGCAUUUGGAAAUGAUGGAGUUUAUCUGGAGAAGUACAUUCAAAAUCCAAGGCAUAUUGAGUUCCAGGUUCUUGCAGAUAAAUAUGGAAAUGUUGUCCACUUUGGUGAGCGUGACUGCAGCAUCCAGAGACGCAAUCAAAAGCUGCUUGAAGAGGCACCUUCUCCUGCAUUGACCCCUGAGUUGCGGAAAGCUAUGGGUGAUGCUGCAGUUGCAGCAGCAGCAUCUAUAGGGUAUAUUGGUGUUGGAACAGUUGAGUUCCUUUUGGAUGAAAGGGGUUCCUUCUACUUCAUGGAAAUGAACACUCGAAUCCAGGUUGAACAUCCGGUAACUGAAAUGAUUUCCUCUGUUGAUUUGAUUGAGGAACAAAUUCGUGUAGCCUUGGGAGAAAAGCUCCGCUACAAACAGGAAGAUAUUGUGCUAAGAGGACAUUCAAUCGAAUGCCGUAUCAAUGCAGAAGAUGCUUUUAAGGGAUUCCGACCUGGGCCAGGAAGGAUAACAUCAUAUUUGCCUUCUGGAGGCCCGUUUGUCAGAAUGGAUAGCCAUGUUUAUCCUGAUUAUGUGGUUCCACCAAGCUAUGAUUCCCUACUGGGAAAGCUUAUCGUGUGGGCUCCGACUCGAGAAAAGGCAAUUGAACGCAUGAAAAGAGCACUGGAUGACACUAUUAUUACAGGAGUUCCUACAACCAUCGACUAUCAUAAACUUAUCCUUGACAUUGAGGACUUCAGAAAUGGCAAGGUUGACACUGCUUUCAUUCCAAAGCAUGAGCAGGAAUUAGCAGCGCCACAGAAGAUUGUACAGGUCAAGGAAUUGGCCAAUGCAACUGCAUAGAUAGAUUUAUUCAGAAAUAUUUGGAUGGCCACAGUUUUC
rnacentral:misc_RNA from 1 species